CUUCAACAUGUGUAUCUCAUUUUGUCAUGUCAUUUAGUUAGAUUUUGAUGUUUGGUUAAUCAGUUUGCUUAACGGGUCAAUUGUGAUGGGUCGUUAUUCUUAAUAUGGUUUUUAGAGUAGUAAGUUAGGAAUAACGGGGUUGUGGAAUAUGGUGAUUUUUUUUUUUGUUUUGUAACCCUUUUCCAUUAUUAUUGAAUAUAUACGCGAGUAUGUGAUCAGAGUGUUUAAUCUUGGGACCUGAAACCAAUACCUUCUUACCUUGUUUAAGGUGGGGUGGUUUCAGUUCUAAUUUCAAGUAAAAGUAAGUUAAAGGUGAAAUCUGUAUCUAUAUAUAUUUACCUUAUAUCUAUAAACAGAAAUGCUAUCUGCGGACUUUGAUAUGAUAAGUGCACGGAAGAAGCUGUUUGAUGAAAUGCUUGAGUUUGCUUUGCCUUCUUAAAGAUGUUUCCCCGGAUACUGCACACCCCAGAUAUGGUCAUCAUACAGUAUGUGAAUCGAAUACCGAUAUAUUUUUCUUUUUGUUGGUAAAAUUUAUGCUUUGGUUAUCUUAUUUCCGUCUUUCAAUUAUUGGAUCCAUUAUAAUACUAACCUAUUAAUCUGUACUGUCAUCUGAUGGUCUAUAGUAGUUACACUGGAAAACACAAACGCAAUGAUCUAUAGGAAUAUAGAAUGAAAAACUAAAUCAUUAACACAUGAUUUUCAUAUUGGAUGCUCUAGCGAGUUGAUGCGGUAUCAUUUGGACUCGAACUCGACUGACCCGAUACCCGCAUGAAAUAAUCUAGAUUGAUGUGGAAUCGUCUAGAAUUUUCUUUUCUUUAUUAUUAGACUUUUUAGUUUCCACGUAUUUAAUCAAGUUCAUAAAUUUCUUACCAUAAAUCUCAUCUAUAAAUAGGGAUCUUAAUUUAUGUUAGUAGUUAGUUUUUUAUCAAUGAUAUGAAAAGUCUUUUCUUUCCUCCCUAUACACAAGUGUGUGUUAGUGUGUGUGAAAUUGUCUAAUUUUCAGUAUUCUAUUUGAAUCAACGAAUUUUAAAAGAAUUAUUUCUGGGUAUUCUUAGAAUCAACAGAAUCAAUUAUUUAUCCCUUUUCCUCGCUGCAUCAUUUGGUAUCAGAGCCAAAAUUCCUAAUCAGAAUGUCUCGUUGUGAUGAUUUUAUCUAUGAUUCACAACCCGUGUACGAUGUAUACGGUGACGAGGAUUGGUAUCAUUGGUUCGUGUCUAAUGAUUGUGAGAAGAUUGAUGAUGAAGAAGGUUUAAUUGGAUGAAACCUUCAAGGUUCAUCAUCUGUGAUGAUGUGAUUGACAUGGUCGAAGUUGAUAUUUAUCAAAAGAAUAAUAGAAGGUCAAUUGUACUCGAUUAUAAUUGUGGUGACCGUUGCUUUCCAUUCUCACCAAAAAGGUGUUGCUUUGCUAGAUAUCUUCACGCGAAAAAACAUCUCCUAAUUGCUUCCAUAAAGAGAAUAUCAAAGGUCCUUUUUUCUCAUAAUUUAAAUGUUGGGUAUCAUGAUAAGGAUGGCACUUCAUGCAUCCCACGUUCCUUUAAUUCGGGUUUUCACAAGAACAAUUUAUACCAUACGGGGACUUUUAGUUGCAAGGUUAUUCUCUUUGAAACUCGCAAGACAAAAGAAAGAAUCAUUUACAUAGAGCGGGAGGAAGAUCAGAAUAUGAAGAGACCUUGCAAACCGAUAAAUUGGGGACCUGUUGUGUUUAAAUUGUACAUACUUGAAGCUGACCAGGACAACUCCUUGGGCUAAACGCCGAUUGAACAAGAGACACAAGAUGGUUUCGUUUGAUCAGGUGCUUUUGGUGAUUCUACUUGAUCCAGGUGGUUUUAGCGCGCGCGGGACGCAAAUCUCGAGGCGAGUUUUCUUCAAGAAGAAGAGAAUGAUGCGGUAGCAUUUGGACUCGAACUCGACUGGACCCGAUACCCGAAUGAAAUAAUCCAGACUGAUGUGGAAUCGUCUAGAAUUUUCUUUUCUUUAUUAUUAGACUUUUUAGUUUCCACAUAUUUAAUUAAGUUCAUAAAUUUGUUACCAUAAAUCCCAUCUAUAAAUAGGGAUCAAAAUUUAUGUUAGUAGUUAGUUUUUCAUCAAUGAUAUGAAAAGUCUUUUUUUUUCUCCCUAUACACAAGUGUGUGUUAGUGUGUGUGAAAUUGCCUAAUUUUCGGUAUUCUAUUUGAAUCAACGAACUUUAGAAGAAUUGUUGAAUCAACAUAAUCAAUUAUUUAUCUUUUUUUCUCGCUUCAUCUCGAGUCAAUCUUAUUAAUCACAUGUAGGCAUUGCCAAUAACAUUAAGGUGGUAUUUUAGAGUUGCCGCGGGGCUAUACCAUCUGACAACGUUCAGUCUCCACAACUUAACAUGAUACGGAGUACUAUUAUUCAAGGAACACAAAUAUUAUUAAAACUUCUACCCAGAACUUGUCCACCUGCAGAAAUUUCUUAUCCUUGAAGCUCUCAAUGGUCGCUUUGAUGCUUUCUUCCAAAGGGGUGAAGGUAUGACAAGUUAGAUAAAGCUGAAGGGCUAUUUGUGUAGUUUCUGAAAGAGUAUGAGUUUGGACCUUUUUGACAAGAGAAGGGAAGUGAGGGUGCAGCCAAGAAAUAUUCCAAGUAUAUAAACAACACCAUUGAUCGAUUAGGGUUUUAUUCUCAGAUAUUCUGCUUGUUGUUUUCGAUAUUUUUCUCUCAAUAUUUCUUAUUAUUCGUAAGAAUUUGUAUCUAGUUAUUCUGAUCUAGAUAUAAUCUUUAUAUCUAGAUAUUGGUUUGUAAUCUGGACCUACAUGUUUUGGUGUUAUAUAUAUUUGGUUCAUCA